CCUGCCACUACACCACAUGGGCUGCGGUACAGAGUCGAGUCCACAGGCCACCGCUGCCGGCCCCUCCGACUAGGUCUCACGUGACGUUGAGCUUCUGCUCUCUGGUCUGGAGGAGACACGGGAGCUGGAAGGGCAAGUUAGACACACAGGUGCCACUGACGAAAUCCAAACUGCAGGAAACGAUGUCACAGCCACCCGAGUUCUCCAACACUUGAAUUGCAGGGAAAAACCAGGCUGGUAGAGGAAUCCGUAGAUCAAAAGAGACUUAAGAGACAUGUCAGUUAAUUGCAAUUGAUAUAUCUGGAUCUUCAUUCAAAUAAAAACUGAUAAAAAUGAUAAUCUGA